CACGUGGCGGUGGCUUGCUUUAUAAAGCAGGCAGACCGGCAUCCAGCUUAACUUUUCGAUUUAACAUUAGAAUGGGUAAAAAGAGAGAUCUAAGGGACUUUGAGCGUGGUAUGAUCGUCGGUUCCAGGCGCGCAGGGUCCAGUAUAUCACAAACAGCCGCACUCUUGGGCUUUUCACGCACGGCAGUGUCUGUGGUUUACCGAGAAUGGCGCGACAAACAAAAAACAUCCAGUCAGCGACAGUCCAGUGGGCGUAAACAGCUCGUUGAUAAGAGGGGUCGAAUGAGAUUGGAAAGAAUCGUGCAAACUAACAGGCGGGCUACAAUUAGACAAAUAACGGCGCAGUACAACAGUGGUGUGCAAAACUGCAUCUCUGAAUGCACAACUCGCCGAUCGUUGUCACGGAUGGGCUACAGCAGCAGACGUCGGGCAAACGAAGAGUGGAAAAACACCGCCUGUGUAGAUAAGGUACGGGAACUUGUCCUGGACAACAGCAGAUCAAAUGAAGGGAAAAUCGAAGGUCUCACAGAAGAAUUUGUCAAUCUGGAAUUCCUCAGUUUGAUAAAUGUUGGCUUAUUCUCAGUUUCCAACCUUCCCAGGCUUGGGAAACUCAAAAAGUUGGAACUCAGCGACAACAGAAUCUCUGGUGGCCUUGACGUGUUAGCAGAGAAACUCCCCAACCUCACACAUCUAAAUCUAAGCGGGAACCAACUGAAAGACAUCAGCACGUUGGAACCUUUGAAAAAGCUGGACAGCCUGAAGUCUCUAGACUUGUUCAACUGUGAGGUGACCAACCUGAACGACUACAGGGAGAGUGUGUUCAAGCUGCUCCCUCAGCUCACCUACCUGGAUGGGUACGACGCGGAGGACCGGGAGGCGACCGACUCGGACGGAGAGGUGGACGAUGAUGACGACGACGAUGAGGGAGAGGAUGAGAACGUAGAGGAGGAAGACUUUGACGAGGAGGAUGAUUACUAUAAAGAGGAGAGAGUAGUAGUAGGAGAGGAUGAUGAGAUCAGCGGAGAUAAGGAGGAGGAAGAUCUCGGAAUUGAUGAUGAAGUUGACGAAGAUGAAAUCAAGGCUGUCCAAGGAGAGAAGAGAAAGCAAGAGCCUGACAAAGAUGAUUAUGAGCAGAAAACGACAGCCUAUCAAGUUACCAACCCCUUCUCUCUCCACCCUGACACCCACCCUGCCUACGCCACGACUCUCUCCCAGCUUUGAGUCCGUCUAGGGUAGAGGUCGACCGAUUAAUCGGAAUGGCCGAUUAAUUAGGGCCGAUUUUCAAGUUCUCAAAUCUGUAUUUUUGGGCUCCGAUUUUAUAUAUUUUGUAAAAAAAAUAUUCAUUAAUUUUAUACCU